CUGUCCCUGUGGAUGCCUGUCCCCGUCCCCCAUGGGUGCCUAUCCCCAUGGGUGCCUGUCUCAGUGGGCACGGGGGCUGCCAGAGCACAAACCCUUCCCUAGUGAUGGGGGCUGCUGUCUCAAGCCCGUGGCCUCUGACCCCAGGUCUCCAGGUGCCGCUCCAGCCAGGAUGCCAUCUACACGAGGACCCACACCUGCAGCGGAUGUGCCGAGUCGGGAGCAGUCACUUCAGAAGUGGGAACAUGUCACAUGUGUUAGGGCUCACGAGCAAGAUAGAUUCCUCCUAACGGAGACCAAGGAGCCCUCUUGGGGCCCGGCCAUGGCCCUGGCCUGGGACAGCACCCACCUACUUCUGCGGGGCCUGGGCUCCUGCGGCAGUGGGCUGGUCCACGCCCCCACCACCCAGCCGGGGCCGCCCUGUGUCUGGCUCUUCCCGCUGAAAAGCACCAGCAGCAGCAAAGGUUAGUUGUUAUUCAGGAAGGCCUCCUUGUGAGCUGCCCGCUGGAGGCUUUCGUGCAGACCUGAGAAGCGAGGGAGUGAGCCCGGGGGCUCCGGGGGCCACCGGCCUGCUCAGAGGCGGCCUUCCGUGGAAACAGCGCUGCCGCCGCGGGGCCGGCCCCAGCCUAGCCGCCAAAGCGCCGUGUUAAACA